GACGUAGGGCGCGAGCGUUGUCCGGAUUUAUUGGGCGUAAAGAGCUCGUAGGCGGCUUGUCGCGUCGAAUGUGAAAUCUCAGGGCUCAACUCUGACAUUGCAUUCGAUACGGGCAGGCUCGAGUUCGGUAGGGGAGACUGGAAUUCCUGGUGUAGCGGUGAAAUGCGCAGAUAUCAGGAGGAACACCGGUGGCGAAGGCGGGUCUCUGGGCCGAUAUCGACGCUGAGGCACGAAAGCGUGGGGAGCGAACAGG
rnacentral:rRNA from 1 species